rnacentral:rRNA from 1 species
AUGCGUCUUCCAGCUCAAGCCUUUCCGUCUACAGUUUAUUCCUUCUCGCGACCGUCAUGGCUGACGCAGCACGCCGCCUCUUCCACUACCGGAUCAUCAACAUACUCUACCUCAAUUCAUCAUUUCAAACUUCAUAUUGAAGGGUUUUUUGUAUCAACUCCUUCUAUCUCUACCGCAAUCGAAGUACCUACAAGUAAAUUUGGUGUAUUUCUUGUCUGUAAUGGGAGUAAUCGCCCUUACCAAUGUAAAAUAAGAGCAUGUGUCUUUGCCCAUUCACAAGAACUCGCUUGUUCUGGUAUCUGUCGCCUCUCCUCUUUCUCACCAGGAUUGAUGCCACAUCGACAAUUAUCAUCUCCUUUUCGAGUGUGUGCCGAAACUGAGUUUCUACCAUGGAAGCUCUUACUGGACACCACACUGAUGUGA